rnacentral:rRNA from 2 species
UAGGGAAUCUUCGGCAAUGGACGAAAGUCUGACCGAGCAACGCCGCGUGAGUGAAGAAGGUUUUCGGAUCGUAAAACUCUGUUGUUAGAGAAGAACAAGGACGUUAGUAACUGAACGUCCCCUGACGGUACCUAACCAGAAAGCCACGGCUAACUACGUGCCAGCAGCCGCGGUAAUACGUAGGUGGCAAGCGUUGUCCGGAUUUAUUGGGCGUAAAGCGAGCGCAGGCGGUUUCUUAAGUCUGAUGUGAAAGCCCCCGGCUCAACCGGGGAGGGUCAUUGGAAACUGGGAGACUUGAGUGCAGAAGAGGAGAGUGGAAUUCCAUGUGUAGCGGUGAAAUGCGUAGAUAUAUGGAGGAACACCAGUGGCGAAGGCGGCUCUCUGGUCUGUAACUGACGCUGAGGCUCGAAAGCGUGGGGAGCAAACAGG